rnacentral:rRNA from 1 species
CCCUUAGAUGUUCUGGGCUGCACGCGCGCUACACUGAUGCACUCAACGAGUUUACGACCUUGCCCGAUAGGGUUGGGUAAUCUUUUUAAAAUGCAUCGUGAUGGGGAUAGAUUAUUGCAAUUAUUAAUCUUCAACGAGGAAUUCCUAGUAAGCGCGAGUCAUCAGCUCGUGCUGAUUACGUCCCUGCCCUUUGUACACACCGCCCGUCGCUACUACCGAUUGGAUGGUUUAGUGAGAUCCUCGGAUUGGUCCCGGCGCGGCCUCUGGUCGUGCCGGAGUGCCGAAAAGAAUGUCGAACUUGAUCAUCUAGAGGAAGUAAAAGUCGUAACA